UACGUAGGGGGCAAGCGUUGUCCGGAUUUAUUGGGCGUAAAGAGCGUGUAGGCGGCUAUACAGGUCCGCUGUGAAAACUCGAGGCUCAACCUCGAGACGUCGGUGGAAACCGUAUGGCUAGAGUCCGGAAGAGGAGAGUGGAAUUCCUGGUGUAGCGGUGAAAUGCGCAGAUAUCAGGAAGAACACCCGUGGCGAAGGCAGGUCUCUGGGCCACUACUGACGCUGAGAAGCGAAAGCAUGGGGAGCGAACAGG
rnacentral:rRNA from 1 species